rnacentral:rRNA from 1 species
UACGGAGGGGGCGAGCGUUGUCCGGAAUUAUUGGGCGUAAAGGGCGCGUAGGCGGUUUGCUAAGUCAGGGGUGAAAACCUAAGGCUCAACCUUAGGCGUGCGCCUGAGACUGGCGAACUUGAGGGCAGGAGAGGAGAGCGGAAUUCCCGGUGUAGCGGUGAAAUGCGUAGAUAUCAGGAGGAACACCAAUGGCGAAGGCGGCUCUCUGGACUGUACCUGACGCUGAGGCGCGAAAGCGUGGGGAGCGAACAGG